GUGGGGAAUAUUGGACAAUGGGCGAAAGCCUGAUCCAGCCAUGCCGCGUGUGUGAAGAAGGUCUUCGGAUUGUAAAGCACUUUAAGUUGGGCGGAAGGGCAGUAAGUUAAUACCUUGCUGUUUUGACGUUACCGACAGAAUAAGCACCGGCUAACUUCGUGCCAGCAGCCGCGGUAAUACGAAGGGUGCAAGCGUUAAUCGGAAUUACUGGGCGUAAAGCGCGCGUAGGUGGUUUUGUAAGUUGGAGGUGAAAUCCCCGGGCUCAACCUGGGAACUGACUCCAAAACUGCAUGACUAGAGUACGGUAGAGGGUAGUGGAAUUUCCUGUGUAGCGGUGAAAUGCGUAGAUAUAGGAAGGAACACCAGUGGCGAAGGCGACUACCUGGACUGAUACUGACACUGAGGUGCGAAAGCGUGGGGAGCAAACAGGAUUAGAAACCCCUGUAGUCC
rnacentral:rRNA from 1 species